UACGGGGGGGGUAAGCGUUGUUCGGAAUUACUGGGCGUAAAGGGCUCGUAGGCGGCCAACUAAGUCAGACGUGAAAUCCCUCAGCUUAACUGGGGAACUGCGUCUGAUACUGGAUGGCUUGGAUUCGGGAGAGGAAUGCGGAAUUCCAGGUGUAGCGGUGAAAUGCGUAGAUAUGCGGAGGAACACCGAUGGCGAAGGCAGUCCCCUGGGCCUGUACUGACGCUCAUGCACGAAAGCGUGGGGAGCAAACAGG
rnacentral:rRNA from 1 species